AUCGAAUUGGACAUGUAUUUGUGGCUUUGGAAACAAACUGAUAUGUUCUGAUCGCCUACAGUCUGCAAAACGGUGUUGCUGAUUAGUCUGAACCCGAGGAGAGUACUAGCUAGCAAAAUGAUUAUGGAAAAGCAAUGGGGGAAGGGAGAACUGUAGAUUCAAUACCUGAAUCUUUGUCUGAAGAAGUAUUCAAACAAGGUGUUUUUGAUGGAUUUCAGUUAUUGGAAAAUUCAGAAAAGAACGGUGUAUGUGAAGCUUCUGGAACCUAUUCAGGAUCUUGUUUGGAUCCAGCCACAGGUAAAAUUUAAGAGCAGUUUGUUCUCUUUCCAGCAAUGGCUUAGUUCUUUCACACCAGAUUUUGUGAAUAUGUUUAUUUGACCACUUCCUUUCCCUGGUCUGAACUCUUAGUCAAACCUUUUAUGUUACAGCAGAAAUUUUUGAAUCAUUAAGUCAAUAGCAAAAGGUAAACUUCUUUAGAAAUGCUUCCUCUACUUCUCAUAAACUUGUGAUAUGCAUGUAAGAACAUAUCCAUGAAACCAAUAAUUCAGCAGGUGGUAUUGUUAUCCUUCUAUUCAGAGGAAGCUUCUUGUAAGUUGAAAUUGGAGCAGAAAGAUUCUGCAGAACUGCAGAAGUAUUGUGUAAGGUGUAAGACUCGUGGAAUUUUUCUACAUUAAGAUUGAAUUGCUGCUAGAGUGACAGGACAAGCACAAUUAGGUUGGUCACGGAUGUGUAUUUGUUCAGAGCGUACUGUGUGCAAAUUGUAUGGGCUCUUCAAAAGGCCUAUUUGUUUUUGUUGGCUUCGGGAUGUGGCUAUGGAGAGGACUAUUCUCCAUUUCCAACAAAGCUGAUAAAGCCAAAUGAAUUCUAGUGGCAGAGCUAGUAAUGUUCUCUUGAAUUGGAUUCUGGUGCUGAGAGAGCCCUUGAAUAGUAAUCUUCGAUUUGAAAUACUCAUGGUUGGAUGAAUGGUGCGUUCAAAGUUCAAACCGGCCAGAGAUCUACCCUCCUGGUCGUCAUCGACAAAGACGGGCUUCUUGCCUUCUACAACACCUACCGGUGCCUCAUCCCUAGAGACGUCGGUUCAAAUUCAUCGCUCUUCCAUUGUUGUUUUUCUUGACUCCGGAUUGUGGCU